CCUACGGGGGGCAGCAGUGGGGGAUAUUGCACAAUGGGGGAAACCCUGAUGCAGCGACGCCGCGUGGGUGAAGAAGUGCUUCGGCAUGUAAAGCCCUAUCGGCAGGGAAGAAGCAAGACGGUACCCGCAGAAUAAGCAUCGGCUAACUCCGUGCCAGCAGCCGCGGUAAUACGGAGGAUGCGAGCGUUAUCCGGAUUUAUUGGGUUUAAAGGGUGCGUAGGCGGACUGUUAAGUCAGCGGUAAAAGCCCGGGGCUCAACCCCGGCGAGCCGUUGAAACUGGCUGUCUUGAGAUGUCGAGAGGUAUGCGGAAUGCGCAGUGUAGCGGUGAAAUGCUUAGAUAUUGCGCAGAACUCCGAUUGCGAAGGCAGCAUACCGGCGGCGAUCUGACGCUGAGGCACGAAAGCGUGGGUAUCGAACAGGAUUAGAUACCCGGGUAGUC
rnacentral:rRNA from 1 species